rnacentral:rRNA from 1 species
GAGGAAAGAGGGAGGCGUGCCUAAUACAUGCAAGUCGAGCGAACAGAUAAGGAGCUUGCUCCUUUGACGUUAGCGGCGGACGGGUGAGUAACACGUGGAUAACCUACCUAUAAGACUGGGAUAACUUCGGGAAACCGGAGCUAAUACCGGAUAAGAUUUUGAACCGCAUGGUUCAAUAGUGAAAGACGGCCUUGCUGUCACUUAUAGAUGGAUCCGCGCCGUAUUAGCUAGUUGGUAAGGUAACGGCUUACCAAGGCAACGAUACGUAGCCGACCUGAGAGGGUGAUCGGCCACACUGGAACUGAGACACGGUCCAGACUCCUACGGGAGGCAGCAGUAGGGAAUCUUCCGCAAUGGGCGAAAGCCUGACGGAGCAACGCCGCGUGAGUGAUGAAGGUCUUCGGAUCGUAAAACUCUGUUAUCAGGGAAGAACAAACGUGUAAGUAACUGUGCACGUCUUGACGGUACCUGAUCAGAAAGCCACGGCUAACUACGUG